CCCGCCUGCCCUGUGACAAUGUUUUAACGGCCGCGGUAUUUUGACCGUGCGAAGGUAGCGUAAUCACUUGUCUUUUAAAUGAAGACCCGUAUGAAAGGCAUCACGAGAGUUUAACUGUCUCUAUUUUCUAAUCAAUGAAAUUGAUCUUCCCGUGCAGAAGCAGGAAUAUUAUCAUUAGACGAGAAGACCCUAUGGAGCUUCAAACACUUAAGCUAAUUUAUGUAAAAUAUUAUUUCCCAUGGGUAUAAACAAUUUAUACUCUACUUCUAACUUAACUGUUUUCGGUUGGGGUGACCAAGGAGGAGAAGAAAGCCUCCUUAUCGACUGAGUAUUUAAUACUUAAAAAAUAGAAUAACAAUUCUAAUUAAUAAAACAUUUAUCGAAAAAUGACCCAGAAUUAAUCCUGAUCAAUGAACCAAGUUACCCUAGGGAUAACAGCGCAAUCCUUUCCUAGAGUCCCUAUCGCCGAAAGGGUUUACGACCUCGAUGUUGGAUCAGGACAUCCUAAUGGUGCAACCGCUAUUAAGGGUUCGUUUGUUCAACGAUUAACAGUCCUACGUGAUUGA
rnacentral:rRNA from 1 species